rnacentral:rRNA from 1 species
GACGAACGCUGGCGGCGUGCUUAACACAUGCAAGUCGAACGGUGAAGCGCUUUCCUUUUUGGUUGGUGUGGAUGAGUGGCGAACGGGUGAGUAACACGUGAGUAACCUGCCCCCUUCUUCUGGAUAACCGCAUGAAAGUGUGGCUAAUACGGGAUAUUCUGCGCCUGCUGCAUGGUGGGUGUGGGAAAGAUUGUGCCUUUGGGUGUUUUCGGUGGGGGAUGGGCUCGCGGCCUAUCAGCUUGUUGGUGGGGUGAUGGCCUACCAAGGCGGUGACGGGUAGCCGGCCUGAGAGGGUGGACGGUCACACUGGGACUGAGACACGGCCCAGACUCCUACGGGAGGCAGCAGUGGGGAAUAUUGCACAAUGGGCGCAAGCCUGAUGCAGCGACGCCGCGUGAGGGAUGGAGGCCUUCGGGGUGUGAACCUCUUUCGCCAGUGAAGCAGGCCUGCUCCUUGUGGGUGGGUUGACGGUAGCUGGAUAAGAAGCGCCGGCUAACUACGUG